AACGCACGAGACCUGCGGACCUGCGGAGGGAUCAUUAAUGAGAAGCUGCCCCUCGUGGGUAGACCUCCCACCCUCUGUGAACUUACCUUUGUUGCUUUGGCAGGCCCGUCCUCUGGACCGCCGGCUUCGGCUGGCCCGUGCCUGCCAGAGGAUUCCAGACCCUGUCUGUCAGUGUUGUCUGAGUCUAUAUGAAAUCGUUAAAACUUUCAACAAUGGAUCUCUAGAUCGGAAGAGCACACG
rnacentral:misc_RNA from 1 species